UACGUAGGGUGCGAGCGUUGUCCGGAAUUAUUGGGCGUAAAGAGCUCGUAGGCGGUUUGUCGCGUCUGCUGUGAAAUCUGGGGGCUCAACCCCCAGCCUGCAGUGGGUACGGGCAGACUAGAGUGCGGUAGGGGAGAUUGGAAUUCCUGGUGUAGCGGUGGAAUGCGCAGAUAUCAGGAGGAACACCGAUGGCGAAGGCAGAUCUCUGGGCCGUAACUGACGCUGAGGAGCGAAAGCGUGGGGAGCGAACAGG
rnacentral:rRNA from 1 species